rnacentral:lncRNA from 1 species
CGAUAGCAGAAUCAGAGAGGAGCAGAGUGGAGAGUUUCAGGACAAGAUGAAAACUCUUCUCCUGCUCUCUGCCAUCCUGGCAGUAACUGCUUGUCUCCCGGUGCCUAAGGACCAGGAACGAGAAAAACGAAGUGCCAGUAACAGUGACAGUGAUGAAUUCCCUUCACGGAUUCCCUUUCCCCCAUACGGGUAUCCAUUUGGUACAUACCCACCAUUCUUAAAUCAAGGCAACCCGUGGUAUUAUUAUUAUUAUUAUUAUCAUUAUCCUCUUUUCCCCCUGCCCUUCACUCCACCUCCAACUGCAGAUCCCUAACAGCAAAUAAAAGAAAAGUCACACUGUGGAUUAUUUAAGGUUACUUUGAAAUUGAAUAUGAACCACUUUCUUGAAGGAUCAAUAUUCCUGUUAAGAGAGAAAAAUAAAAGCAAUUGAAAUAGCAUA